GGCAGCGGCGCCGGCGGCGGAGUCGAGAGGGGAGAGAGAGAGAGUCGAGAGACAGGGAGGAGACAGGGAGGACGAACAAACUAGGGCUUGUAGUUUUGGGGUUAAUUUCUAAAUUUUCUAAAUAAAAUCUAUUCCUUUUUUUCUUUUUCUUUUUUCUCUUUUUUCACUUUUAAUAUUCAAUUUUUGGUAUUUAGAUUUCUAAUUUAGAUUUUAUAUAAGUGUUACUUAAUGAUAAAACAAAAAAAUGUUAUAUGAUUUUUUUAUUUUUAAAAUCUAUAUCUAGGAAUAAAUUCAGAUUUUAGGAUAAACAAUUUAUUUGUUAUUUUUAAU
rnacentral:lncRNA from 1 species